rnacentral:misc_RNA from 1 species
UGGUUCCAGCAUNGAUGAAGAACGCAGCGAAAUGCGAUAAAUAAUGUGAAUUGCAGAAUUCCGUGAAUCAUCGAGUCUUUGAACGCACAUUGCGCCCUUUGGCAUUCCGAAGGGCGCGCCUGUUCGAGCGUCAUUUCAAACCAUCAUCGCUGAAUUUUUCAGUAUGGAGUUGAGCCUGCCGGUUGCGGCUGCUCGAAAGCAUCGGCCCAUUUGCAGACUGCCAGUGACGACUCACAAACUUUCUGUUAAAUGCGCCCAAAGCAUCAAGGUUGACCUCGGAUCAGGCGGGAAUACCCGCUGA